AUUUUGAAAUAUAAUGUGGACAACCUGAUCAGAGUUGACAGUUGAACUCUGAGGUGUUCUAUGAGCAUUUUGGUCAAGGGGAUGAAUUAUAUGGAAACUAUAUCCGCAUGGGUUCUAAGGAUGUUGUUCUACACAUUCGACCUAUCCGACCAUCAUUACUAGAUGGUCACUUCGAUUGGUACAAGAAUUUAUUCCUAUACUAUCGGCUU
rnacentral:lncRNA from 1 species